CAGCAACCAUGCACUCUCCAAAAAGUGUCCAUCCAAAAAUGUCCAGACUAAUGGAGGAUGAAGACAUGGACAUGCAGAGUUAGGGAGCCAGAAAAGGAUAAAGAGUGAGACAGGCUUGAUAAAGAAAACUGGGAGAGGCCAGAUGACUUCAGCAGUGCCUGAGAUUUUGCACGCACCCUCCAUCCUCCUGACUGCCUCCCCACUCACCUUAUCAAUCACGGCAAAGUUACAAGGUGAAGGAACGGCGCAAUGUCAAGAGUUUUAUUAGAAUCUGACAGAGCACAACCAAAAACAGCAACACAGAAAACCAUAAUCACAGCAUCC